AUCAGAGUAGACUUUAUUGCGUUAAGUGCCCGGAGGAUGGAAUGUUGCCACUGGGACGAAAAUGGAAACAUUGCGAUAAUUUAGUCGCAUUCGCUGCAU
rnacentral:ncRNA from 21 species